rnacentral:rRNA from 1 species
AGAGUUUGAUCCUGGCUCAGAUUGAACGCUGGCGGCAUGCCUUACACAUGCAAGUCGAACGGCAGCACGGGGCAACCUGGUGGCGAGUGGCGAACGGGUGAGUAAUAUAUCGGAACGUACCCUGGAGUGGGGGAUAACGCAGCGAAAGUUGCGCUAAUACCGCAUACGAUCUACGGAUGAAAGUGGGGGAUUCGCAAGAACCUCAUGCUCGUGGAGCGGCCGAUAUCUGAUUAGCUAGUUGGUAGGGUAAAAGCCUACCAAGGCAUCGAUCAGUAGCUGGUCUGAGAGGACGACCAGCCACACUGGAACUGAGACACGGUCCAGACUCCUACGGGAGGCAGCAGUGGGGAAUUUUGGACAAUGGGCGCAAGCCUGAUCCAGCAAUGCCGCGUGAGUGAAGAAGGCCUUCGGGUUGUAAAGCUCUUUUGUCGGGGAAGAAACGGUUUGGGCUAAUACCCUGGGCUAAUGACGGUACCCGAAGAAUAAGCACCGGCUAACUCCGUGCCAGCAGCCGCGGUAAUACGGGGGGAGCAAGCGUUGUUCGGAUUUACUGGGCGUAAAGGGCGCGUAGGCGGCCAGCACAAGUCAGUUGUGAAAUCUCCGAGCUUAACUCGGAAAGGUCAACUGAUACUGUGCGGCUAGAGUGCGGAAGGGGCAACUGGAAUUCUUGGUGUAGCGGUGAAAUGCGUAGAUAUCAAGAGGAACACCUGCGGCGAAGGCGGGUUGCUGGGCCGACACUGACGCUGAGGCGCGAAAGCCAGGGGAGCGAACGGGAUUAGAUACCCCGGUAGUCCUGGCCUUAAACGAUGAAUGCUUGGUGUCUGGGGUUAUAUAGUCCCCGGGUGCCGUCGCUAACGCUUUAAGCAUUCCGCCUGGGGAGUACGGUCGCAAGACUGAAACUCAAAGGAAUUGACGG